UUUCCGUAGGUGAACCUGCGGAAGGAUCAUUAACUACCGGCACCCCUCCCGGGGGGUGCGCGGCUCGGGGCGACCCGUGCCGUCUGUAGUCCCUGUCUUUUCGAGUACCUGUUCCGUUUCCUCGGCGGGCUUGCCUGCCGGUUGGACAUUAUCAAACCUUUUUGUAGUUGCAAUCAGCGUCAGAAACAAAACAAUAAUUACAACUUUCAACAACGGAUCUCUUGGUUCUGGCAUCGAUGAAGAACGCAGC
rnacentral:misc_RNA from 1 species